GGGAAGUGCGAACGUAGAGGGUGAUAUUCCCGUACACGAAAGGGCACACAUAAUGAUGACGAGUAGGGCGAGGCACGUGAAACCUUGUCUGAAUAUGGGGGGACCAUCCUCCAAGGCUAAAUACUCCUGACUGACCGAUAGUGAACCAGUACCGUGAGGGAAAGGCGAAAAGAACCCCUGUGAGGGGAGUGAAAUAGAUCCUGAAACCGCAUGCAUACAAGCAGUGGGAGCACCUUCGUGGUGUGACUGCGUACCUUUUGUAUAAUGGGUCAGCGACUUAUAUUCAGUAGCGAGGUUAACCGUAUAGGGGAGCCGUAGAGAAAUCGAGUCUUAAUAGGGCGUUUAGUUGCUGGGUAUAGACCCGAAACCAGGCGAUCUAUCCAUGAGCAGGUUGAAGGUUGGGUAACACUAACUGGAGGACCGAACCCACUGUCGUUGAAAAGCCAGGGGAUGACUUGUGGAUAGGGGUGAAAGGCUAAUCAAGCCUGGUGAUAGCUGGUUCUCCCCGAAAGCUAUUUAGGUAGCGCCUCGGACGAAUACCAUAGGGGGUAGAGCACUGUUUCGGCUAGGGGGUCAUCCCGACUUACCAAACCGAUGCAAACUCCGAAUACCUAUGAGUACUAUCCGGGAGACAGACUGCGGGUGCUAACGUCCGUAGUCAAGAGGAAAACAAUCCAGACCGCCAGCUAAGGCCCCAAAAUCAUAGUUAAGUGGGAAACGAUGUGGGAAGGCAUAGACAGCUAGGAGGUUGGCUUAGAAGCAGCCACCCUUUAAAGAAAGCGUAAUAGCUCACUAGUCGAGUCGGCCUGCGCGGAAGAUGUAACGGGGCUAAAACUAUGUGCCGAAGCUGCGGAUGUAUACUUUGUAUACGUGGUAGGGGAGCGUUCUGUAAGCCGAUGAAGGUGUGUUGAGAAGCAUGCUGGAGGUAUCAGAAGUGCGAAUGCUGACGUGAGUAACGACAAAACGGGUGAAAAACCCGUUCGCCGAAAGACCAAGGGUUCCAGUCCAACGUUAAUCGGGGCUGGGUGAGUCGACCCCUAAGGCGAGGCCGAAAGGCGUAGUCGAUGGGAAAAUGGUUAAUAUUCCAUUACUUCUGUGUAAUGCGAUGAGAGGACGGAGAAGGCUAAAUCAGCCUGGCGUUGGUUGUCCAGGUGAAAGGAUGUAGGCAUGUAUCUUAGGCAAAUCCGGGGUACUCUAUGCUGAGAUCUGAUAGCAAGCUGUACUUGUACAGCGAAGUGGUUGAUGCCAUGCUUCCAGGAAAAGUCUCUAAGCUUCAGUUACACAGGAAUCGUACCCGAAACCGACACAGGUGGUCAGGUCGAGUAGACCAAGGCGCUUGAGAGAACUCUGCUGAAGGAACUAGGCAAAAUGGUACCGUAACUUCGGGAGAAGGUACGCUGUUGUUGGUGAUGGAACUCGCUUCCUGAGCUGACGACAGCCGCAGAAACCAGGCCGCUGCAACUGUUUAUUAAAAACAUAGCACUCUGCAAACACGAAAGUGGACGUAUAGGGUGUGAUGCCUGCCCGGUGCUGGAAGGUUAAUUGAUGGGGUUAGCGUAAGCGAAGCUCUUGAUCGAAGCCCCAGUAAACGGCGGCCGUAACUAUAACGGUCCUAAGGUAGCGAAAUUCCUUGUCGGGUAAGUUCCGACCUGCACGAAUGGCAUAAUGAUGGCGGCGCUGUCUCCAGCAGAGGCUCAGUGAAAUCGAAAUCGCUGUGAAGAUGCAGUGUACCCGCGGCUAGACGGAAAGACCCCGUGAACCUUUACUGCAGCUUGACACUGAACUUUGACCUUACUUGUGUAGGAUAGGUGGGAGGCUUUGAAGCUGGAACGCUAGUUCCAGUGGAGCCGUCCUUGAAAUACCACCCUGGUAAUGUUGAGGUUCUAACUCUGUCCCGUGAUCCGGGACGAGGACCGUGUCUGGUGGGUAGUUUGACUGGGGCGGUCUCCUCCUAAAGAGUAACGGAGGAGUACGAAGGUGCGCUCAGCGUGGUCGGAAAUCACGCGUAGAGUAUAAAGGCAAAAGCGCGCUUAACUGCGAGACCCACAAGUCGAGCAGGUACGAAAGUAGGUCUUAGUGAUCCGGUGGUUCUGUAUGGAAGGGCCAUCGCUCAACGGAUAAAAGGUACUCUGGGGAUAACAGGCUGAUACCGCCCAAGAGUUCAUAUCGACGGCGGUGUUUGGCACCUCGAUGUCGGCUCAUCUCAUCCUGGGGCUGAAGCAGGUCCCAAGGGUAUGGCUGUUCGCCAUUUAAAGAGGUACGCGAGCUGGGUUUAGAACGUCGUGAGACAGUUCGGUCCCUAUCUACCGUGGGCGCUGGAAAUUUGAGAGGAUCUGCUCCUAGUACGAGAGGACCAGAGUGGACGAACCUCU
rnacentral:rRNA from 1 species